rnacentral:rRNA from 1 species
CUACGGGGGGCUGCAGUCGCGGAACUUUUACAAUGCACGAAAGUGUGAUAAAGCGAACCAAAGUGUUUUUCGUUUAGAAAAACUUUUUCUUACUGUAAAAAUGUAGGAGAAUAAGGACUGGGAAAGACUGGUGCCAGCCGCCGCGGUAAUACCAGCAGUUCAAGUUGCAUCCCUUUUUAUUGGGUUCUAAAACAUCCGUAGCUUGCUAGAUAAGUCUCUUGUGAAAUCCUACGUCUCAAGCGUGGUGAAGUGCAGGAGAUACUGUCUAGCUAGAGAUCGGUAGACGUAAGGAGUACGCCGGAGGUAGUGGUAAAAUACGUUAAUCUUCGGUGGACUAACAAUGAGCGAAGGCACCUUACGAGGACGAAUCUGACAGUGAGGGAUGAAGGCCAGGGGCGCAAAACGGAUUAGAUACCCUUGUAGUC